AGUGAACGCUGGCGGUAGGCCUAACACAUGCAAGUCGAACGGCAGCACAGUAAGAGCUUGCUCUUACGGGUGGCGAGUGGCGGACGGGUGAGGAAUACAUCGGAAUCUACUUUUUCGUGGGGGAUAACGUAGGGAAACUUACGCUAAUACCGCAUACGACCUACGGGUGAAAGCAGGGGAUCUUCGGACCUUGCGCGAUUGAAUGAGCCGAUGUCGGAUUAGCUAGUUGGCGGGGUAAAGGCCCACCAAGGCGACGAUCCGUAGCUGGUCUGAGAGGAUGGUUAGCCACACUGGAACUGAGACACGGUCCAGACUCCUACGGGAGGCAGCAGUGGGGAAUAUUGGACAAUGGGCGCAAGCCUGAUCCAGCCAUACCGCGUGGGUGAAGAAGGCCUUCGGGUUGUAAAGCCCUUUUGUUGGGAAAGAAAAGCAGCAGGUUAAUACCCCGCUGUUCUGACGGUACCCAAAGAAUAAGCACCGGCUAACUUCGUG
rnacentral:rRNA from 1 species